rnacentral:rRNA from 1 species
AACGAACGUUGGCGGCGUGGAUUAGGCAUGCAAGUCGUUCGUCCCGCAAGGGACGAGGCGCAAGGGUGAGUAAGGCGGAGGCAACCAACCCCCGGACAUGGGUAUAGCCGCGGGAAACUGCGGGUAAUCCCCAGCGACGUCGCGAGAGGACAUCCUCUUGCGACCAAAGGUGUGAUUCCGGUCCGGGACGGGCCUCCGUG